UCAUGGAUUAGAUGUUUAUAACUAAAAUAUACCAUUGAGAUGAGUUGAACACUUAAAUAAAUAUGUUAAAGAAGGGCAAACCUCUCGUGUGAUGUGGCUUCUCGCAUCCGCGCCUUAGUCUCUAGGAAGGGGCGACUAGCGCCCUGGAUCUGGCAAUCCGACGAGGGGGCGAAGGUGGGCUAUUGGCCGACACACUUGAAUGAGGGGUGACCAUCGCCCUAGCUCUAGCAAUCUGGUGAGGCAUCGACCAGGGCGAGACCUACAACUUGGGAACAACCGAACGGGGCAGGGCGGGAUGGUGGACAACAACAAGCCAAGGACAUGGGAGGGAGGGAGGGACGAAAGUGCGCGGUGUCCGACGGAGAAGUGUGGGGCAGCCAGCUAGGGUUCCUGGACGAGGAGAAGUGAGAGGCGGCCGGUGGCGCGGCUACUGCCUAGCUGCCCUCGCUCGAUGUUGUUGGCUAUGAGCCCUACGACUAAACAUGUGCAGGGAUAAUGCGGUAGCUGGGAUUGGGUGGUGGGCUGGAUUAGAGUGGUAGUAAAAUUAUUGUCACUUUUGCAGGGGGGAUCGAACUCGUUGAAGCCCCCGGGUGGAUUCGUCGUUGCGGUAGGUUGUGCAGAAGUUACCUUGGCCUGUGGCGUUUGGGGGGGCACCCAAACUCGAUUUCUUCUACCUCUCGCGCAUGAACAGAGGCUGGCGGUGCCUUUCCCCUCCGCUGAAUCCCCAUGUUUGAUCUCCUUCAUCCGUCCACCAUUUUAGGGGAUUUUUGGGGCAAAACGAAGAGGAGGGAUGGUAGAUGAUGAGGACAAUGGGCGCGUGUAUACGGGAGUUGACAUUGCUUUCAACAAGGACCAUCGUGCCCACGCUAUCGAGCGUGGACAGUUAACAAUCAUGCGAAUGAGGAGUCACACGUUAGCUUGCCAGAUGGCAUAUGACAUGUGCUAUGAGCCCUUCUUCAAGUGUGUCGAGCUACUACAAGUUGUCCUUCAGUUCAAACGUGUUCCGCCGGUGAUGAACCAUCCAACCCUCACAUCAUUGCUUGAUCAUUGGCGGCCGGAGGCACACAACUUUCAUCUCCCUUGUGGCGAGAUGAAUGUGACGCUCAAGGACUUUGCCAUGAUCACAAGGCUUCCCAUCGACGGCCACACUCUCACUGAACGAGUGGACAAGAAGAACUGGCGACACAGGGUUAUCUCUCUCAUCGGGGACUGCUCUACCUUUCUUUCUGAACAGGGAAACACUCACAAUAGGAUAAACAGUGUUCCAUUCGCCUGGCUCGAGACCCAUAGGUCCUGAUGCCCGCAAGGUCCGAACAAGGAGACAGUGAAGAAGUAUGCCCAAGCGUAGGUGUGCCCGCAAGGUCCAAACAAGGAGAAAGUGGAGAAGUAUGUGCAAGGUCCUUUUUGGAGAUUGCUUAGGAGACGUUGCUCCUUAGAUGUAUCUUGACUUCUUGGACAACUCGGACGAGCAUUACAACUGGGGGUCUGCUGGGAUCGCCUACUUGUACCAUCAUUUGGUUUGCAGCUCGACGAUGCUUGUAGGAAAACAAGCCAGAAACCAUGCAUGGGUGGAUGUAUUUGGGGCCUAUCUAUUUGGAUGUGGGAGCAUUUUCUACUUGGACGUCGUGAAAGGGAUCAUGAUUCACCGAUACCGUUGGUAGGCCUUGACAAUGUACAAGAUGUUUUUCGACUCCCUACCGUGGCAUUCUCAUGGGAUAAAGUUAAAAUAUUUUGGAGAAAUAAGGAGUCCUUGUACAAGAGCUUCAUCAAUGAGAUGGACAACCACAAAUAUCGUCUGGUUAAUUGGAGGACUUACGAGGCACAAAGGGGUUUUAUGUUGGACCAGAUGUGUACGAGGGACAUCCAUCUUUGGCGGAUCAGGUGCCCCCAGAUAUGCAUUUGCUGUCGAGUGGCAUCUACAACAUCGAGUGGCAUUGAAAUUUGGUAGGCGACGACUCACCCCACCGGUGAAUUCAAGCACAACUAGAUUCGAGCUCCACAAAGUAAUCAGAGUGUGACUGAGUGGGGACAACACCAUUCUAGUUAUGUCUAGAUGUGGAUAGAGAGGCUAGGUUCCAUAGAGAGUGCUAUGGUAUUGUCGGAUAUGAGGGAGUUCAAAGAGACACACCUGAAGUCGUAUGAGAAUGGAAGGCGAUUUUGGUUGCGUUUGAGACCGAGGUGGACCAACACAGAUCUCGUUGAAGCUCACGUAAAGACUGACUUGGAAGAUGAGUACAACACCAUGGUGAGAAGUACACAAGGUGAAUAUAGAGAGUAUGCGCCAAUGACUGAUUGAGUGACUUAUGAGCUCAACAGAAGUAUCAUCGAAGGGUCAAACACUCUCAUGGAUCCCGAGACAACACUAAGGGACGCUAUGAAAUGCUCCAUAACAUGCUGUCGGAAGCUAGUCACCCUGCUUGAUUGCGCAACCCCUGCCAACAUUGAUGUGCAUGCUCCUGGAACAUCGAUGCCAGCAAGUGGAGCUCGCGCUUCUUCUAGCCAUGCCGGUGGAUCUUCUACGCAUAUCAAAUCUGACGAAGAAGCGGAGGACUCGUAGGAUGCGGGCCUGCAGGAGAUGAAUAUCUCACAAAUGAUGGAUGCACCACUGGUUUCCCAAGAGAAAAGGGUUUCUCACCCUCAUAUGGAUCUACACUCCUCGAGUCCAUUUCAGAAAAUGGUGCCUCGUCGCUGCAAGAAAACCUGAACGAGGGGCGCCCAAAGAGAGGAAGAAAGUGAUGCCGGCACUUGAUAACAAAGUAGUGAUGCGGGCACUUGAUGGAUAAGUACUUGGUGAUGUCGAACUACUAUUUGGUGACGUUGACUUUUUCUGUUUCGUCAUGUCAAAUUUGCAACUAUUAUUUAGCUCGUUGUUUAACUUUUAUGGUGAUGUUUAACUUUAAUGUGAAAUGGUGAAAUUGAACUA